rnacentral:rRNA from 1 species
UUCGCAAUGCCCGAAAGGGUGACGAAGCGACGCCGCGUGUGGGAAGAAGGCCUUCGGGUUGUAAACCACUGUCGGGAGUUAAGAAAUGCAAGGAUAUUAAUAGUGUCUUUGUUUGACUAAGGCUCCGGAGGAAGCCACGGCUAACUCGGUGCCAGCAGCCGCGGUAAUACAGAGGCGGCAAGCGUUGUUCGGAAUUAUUGGGCGUAAAGAGCACGUAGGCGGCUAUGUAAGUCGGUUGUGAAAGCCUUCCGCUCAACGGAAGAACAGCAUCCGAUACUACAUGGCUUGAGUGCGGGAGGGGAGAGUGGAACUUCUGGUGGAGCGGUGAAAUGCGUAGAUAUCAGAAGGAACGCCGGCGGCGAAAGCGGCUCUCUGGCCCAUAACUGACGCUGAGUGUGCGAAAGCUAGGGGAGCAAACGGGAUUAGAUACCCCGGUAGUCCUAGCCGUAAACGAUGGGCACUAAGUAGAGGGGUUUU